rnacentral:rRNA from 1 species
UACAGAGGUCUCAAGCGUUGUUCGGAUUCAUUGGGCGUAAAGGGUGCGUAGGCGGCGCGGUAAGUCGGGGUGUGAAAUCUCGGAGCUUAACUCCGAAACUGCAUUCGAUACUGCCGUGCUUGAGGACUGGAGAGGAGACUGGAAUUUACGGUGUAGCGGUGAAAUGUGUUGAUAUCGGUGGGAACGCCAGUGGCGAAAGCGGCAAACUUGACCCUUCCUGACGCUGAGGCGCGAAAGCUAGGGGAGCAAACGGG